UAGGGAAUCUUCCGCAAUGGGCGAAAGCCUGACGGAGCAACGCCGCGUGAGUGAUGAAGGUCUUCGGAUCGUAAAACUCUGUUAUUAGGGAAGAACAAAUGUGUAAGUAACUAUGCACGUCUUGACGGUACCUAAUCAGAAAGCCACGGCUAACUACGUGCCAGCAGCCGCGGUAAUACGUAGGUGGCAAGCGUUAUCCGGAAUUAUUGGGCGUAAAGCGCGCGUAGGCGGUUUUUUAAGUCUGAUGUGAAAGCCCACGGCUCAACCGUGGAGGGUCAUUGGAAACUGGAAAACUUGAGUGCAGAAGAGGAAAGUGGAAUUCCAUGUGUAGCGGUGAAAUACGCAGAGAUAUGGAGAAACACCAGUGGCGAAGGCGACUUUCUGGUCUGUAACUGACGCUGAUGUGCGAAAGCGUGGGGAUCAAACAGG
rnacentral:rRNA from 1 species